CCUCCCUUCGUAAUGGGGCGGCGGGGGGCCGUAGCCCUCAUCGUGGUAGUGCCCGUGGUAUCCCCCGUGGGGUCCUCCGUACUCCGCCGGGUGGUCUCCCAGAAGCGGGGGCUGCCGCUGGCGCUUGUUGGGAUUGCCGCCCGGGUCGCCUUGUCCGCUGAGGUUGGGGUUGGUGUAGUCCCAGGUGUCCUGGUCGUUCUUGAAAACGUUCAGGCGUGUGGGCUUAGCGUACUCAAUCUUCAGCGUGCAGCACCCAGAGUAGAUGUCGGCCCCGUUAAGGGACGCUUUGGCUCGCUGUGCGCUCUGCACUGAGUCAAACUCCACCAUGGCCUGGACGCCGUUCUUCCUGAAGAUAACGAUCCUCUGCACGGGGCCACACGGGUUGCAGAUGGUGUAGAGCACAUCCGUCGUGAUCGAGUAGAUGGGGUUGAGAAUGGUGAAGAGCAAAACGUUGUUGACGCCGCGGGAGUCGUCGCUGUCCCCGGGGCGGGAGAUCUUCUGGCUGGUGGAGUAGUUGACGAAGGCGGGGUGUCCGGCGAUGUAGAUUUGGUUGUCGGCUGCGUAGUUGACAGCAUUGCAGGCACCCAGGAUGUCCUCAAACUCCACCAAGGCCUGGCGCUUCUUGGGCAUCACCACCACGUAACUGAUGGGGCCAAACUCCUGCAGGGCCUCCACCAGGUCGGCCUCCACCACGCCGUCGAUCAGCCCCCGGAUGUGCACCACGGGGGACGCGGGGGUCUUGUGGGGAUCGUCGUAGUUCUCCGCUCCGCCGGCCCCGGCCCCGCCGCCCCCCCCCGGCCCUCCGGGCCCAUGAGGCGGCGGCUCCGCGUUCUCCGUCUUCUGACGCUUCGGGGCUCGGCCUCCGUCGCCCCCCCCGCCGUAGUACCGCCCCGAGCCGCCCCCGCCGCCGCCGCCCGCCGCCAUUUUGCCCAUCUCGCCCCCGCGGCCGCUGCCCUCCGCGCUCUGCGGGCCCCGCCACCGCCGCCGCGACAUGGCGCCCCGCUCCGCCGCACCGCCUCCGCCACGCCCCUAUUGGGCGGGCCCC
rnacentral:lncRNA from 1 species